AUGAGAAUGAACUAGUGAUAGAACCAGCAUUCAGAUGGGCUGGCAAUCCUAACAUAGUAAUGGUGGUGAAUAUCAUGUCUCUCCGGAUCACAUUUCAGAUAGUGGAUCUUCAGAUGUUUGCUACGCCACGGUUGGCUUUGAAGCCUCUUGUGCCUACUUUUCCUUGUUUUGCCAAUAUUGUAGCGUCUUUAAUGGAGAAACCACAAAUAGACUUUGGAUUGAAGAUAAUGGGAGGAGACAUUAUGUCUAUACCUGGCCUUUAUCGAUAUAUUCAGGAGACAUUAAAGAAACAAGUUGCAAGCCUCUACCUCUGGCCCCGGAUUCUUGAAAUUCCUAUGCUUGAUCCUUCGAUAUUGUCCACAAGAAAGCCAGUGGGCAUAUUGCAUGUGAAGGUUGUACGAGCAUCAAAACUCUUGAAAAUGGAUAUCUUGGGAACCUCUGAUCCAUAUGUCAAGCUCAGCCUGACUGGUG
rnacentral:misc_RNA from 1 species